CUCGCACCUGCCUCCCAGGUGCGCGCGCUCCCUCCGCCCGUCCCCGCGCGCCUCCAGCCCCUUCCAGGGGUGCUGACGUUGCCCUGAGUUUGGUGGCCGCGCGUCCACCCGCCCGACUGCAGCUUUGUUGUCAUACUCUCCGGGUCCUCCUUUUCAACCCCUCAGGAGUCCUGGUUUCCAGUCACUGGGAUUUGGAGGUGAAGUCCCUGCCUACAGAGUUGGAAAGAUCUGUGUGUGUUGGUGGUGUAGUGGUGAGCAUAGCUGCCUUCCAGAGUUGGAAAGAUCAAGCACUGCUGAUCUCCCUCUCAAGAAGCACUCAAAAGGUAAUUCAUGGGUCCCCUACCUGAGGAUCACAGACUUGUACCGAUGAAGGU